rnacentral:rRNA from 1 species
GAUGAACGCUAGCUACAGGCUUAACACAUGCAAGUCGAGGGGAAACGACAUCGAAAGCUUGCUUUUGAUGGGCGUCGACCGGCGCACGGGUGAGUAACGCGUAUCCAACCUGCCCAUCACUUGGGAAUAACCUUGCGAAAGUAAGACUAAUACCCAAUGAUAUCCCACGAAGGCAUCGGAAUGGGAUUAAAGAUUUAUCGGUGAUGGAUGGGGAUGCGUCUGAUUAGCUUGUUGGCGGGGUAACGGCCCACCAAGGCAACGAUCAGUAGGGGUUCUGAGAGGAAGGUACACCACAUUGGAACUGAGACACGGUCCAAACUCCUACGGGAGGCAGCAGUGAGGAAUAUUGGUCAAUGGGCGAGAGCCUGAACCAGCCAAGUAGCGUGCAGGAAGACGGCCCUAUGGGUUGUAAACUGCUUUUAUAAGGGAAUAAAGUGGGUCACGUGUGACUUUUUGCAUGUACCUUAUGAAUAAGGACCGGCUAAUUCCGUG